CUGCGUCUGAUAAAGUGGUGGGCCGUGAGAUGAGAGCAGCGACUAUAGGAGUCGCGCCGCGCUUCGUCAGCCACGGGAGCAUGUGUUGUUCCUUCACCGGCGCCGGCGGCAAUGGCGCCCGCCUCCUCCCGGUCGCCGCCGGAGGCGUGGGCGCCGCUCGAGCGGUUGCUCGGCUCGGCUUCCGUCUGCCCUCCUCGUCCCUCCCUCUCACUCACCCUUCGGUUUGAUGCAACCAUUUCAUAGUACUGCAUCGCCAAAUACGAAUUAUGACAAGCCAACAUAUAUAGCUUGCUCGUAACACAAGAUGCCGGAUUGCAAGUAAACCACUAUAUGUACUUAUUGUAUUCUAGAAACAAAAAAACUAUAUGUACUUAUUGGAAUUUGAGUACGAAUCCCGGAAUAUUGUUUACACGAAAGAAAAAAGCAAUUAGAGCCA